rnacentral:rRNA from 1 species
AUUGAACGCUGGCGGCAUGCCUUACACAUGCAAGUCGAACGGUAACAGGUCUUCGGAUGCUGACGAGUGGCGAACGGGUGAGUAAUACAUCGGAACGUGCCUAGUAGUGGGGGAUAACUACUCGAAAGAGUGGCUAAUACCGCAUGAGAUCUACGGAUGAAAGCAGGGGAUCGCAAGACCUUGUGCUACUAGAGCGGCCGAUGGCAGAUUAGGUAGUUGGUGGGAUAAAAGCUUACCAAGCCGACGAUCUGUAGCUGGUCUGAGAGGACGAUCAGCCACACUGGGACGGAGACACGGCCCAGACUCCUACGGGAGGCAGCAGUGGGGAAUGUUGGACAAUGGGCGAAAGCCUGAUCCAGCAAUGCCGCGUGCAGGAUGAAGGCCUUCGGGUUGUAAACUGCUUUUGUACGGAACGAAAAGCUCUGGGUUAAUACCCUGGGGUCAUGACGGUACCGUAAGAAUAAGCACCGGCUAACUACGUGCCAGCCGCCGCGGUAAGAC